ensembl:lncRNA
UUACUGUGGACUGCAACUUAGCCGUAGCUGUGCAAGCUUGCAUAUUUAUUAUGUUAAUCCCUAAAUUGGAAUCUGAAAUUCUUAUCUUGACCAAAAUAAAUAGCAGUUGGAAAGACAUCAGUGUUUUUUCUUUCUUCUGCAGGUGCAUUGCUCACCGAAUUCAGGGUGAAUACGAUGGAAAUGAUUAACUAUUCAAGUCCAUAUCAACUAAUCCCGAGUAUUUGAAGACCCUCAGUAGGGAUUAGAGCUCCACCGUACAACAGAACAUCAACAUCUGGAAAAUCACAGUAAAGCAGUUAAGUAGAAAGUAAUAGAUCCAGAGUACUGAAUAUCAACUUUUCACCCAGUGGUGAGCUGAUGCUAGGGGAAGAAGGAAUACUAGACUCUGAUCUUAGCUCUUGUUUGGCUAUACUUCCUCUGUCCUGUCUUCCUUCUCUCUACACUCUCAAGUGCAUAUGUCAGCACUUUUCAACCAGGAAAAACAAAACAAAACAGCAACAAAAGGAGGAGAGAAAUAAAAGGAAAUGAUACAGGAAUUUCUCCAAAGUCUACAUGAUGCAGACACUGAGAACAAAAAUCUUUUUAUAUGUCUUCUCAGAGGCCAAGAAGUGUGAACAAUUGGUUCAUGGACAAUUAAUUUGUUGUAGCCUUCAACAUUUAGAUAUGUCUGGCUGAGGAAUGUAUCCUUUACUUCAGGAACAAAAUGAUUAUUUAGCUAACCCAGUCUAUCGUAGCACUGUGAACAAAUGCUUCUCCAAUCUGGUAUUUGAAAAAUCCAUAAGGAUAAAUUAAAUUAACAUGACUUUCUCCUGGAAGAAAAUAGGCUGAAGAAAAGACUAAUUUCUAAUUUUCAUGCAGUUGAUGUUACAAAAAACCAUCAAAUAUUAUCUUACUUCUUAUAUUUAUCUUGCCUAUUUUAUUUUAUUCUAUUUUAUUUCUUGUCCUUUGGAAAAGCAUGUUCUUCACCAUGAAUUAUUAAUGUAAUUAUAAUUUUUAGUUAUAUAUAAAAACAUUCUUAAAAACCAUAAAAAAAAAAAAAGCCUGCACCCUCUCUAGUUCUUUCCAUUUCUCCCAUUGCUACUUCUACCACAAAUCUGACAAGUUCCUGAAUGUGCAACUGAGUCGUGAAUCAAGUGCUUGAAGCUGUACACAGACAACAGAAAUAGGUCACUGCUUCUUCAAGAAUCUGUGCUUCAGUCAUAUUCACUUCUAUUUUUAUUCAAGAUUCAAGAAUUAAAAAAAAAAUAAAAAGUAGCAACACUGGCUUAGCUUAUGAAAACAAUUUCAAACUAGCAAUGCAAACUUGCACUCCAUGAGUUGUCUGCCUUUGUCUACUCAGACCCUGGAAAACAUAUGUGUAUUUAAUUGAGGAUUUACUUUAUGCUGUUAUAAACUAUAAUGGUAAUAUAGUGCCUUUUGUAAGAAGCUUAAACAAACUUGCUUGUCAGGAUUGCAAUCUCCCUGUCUAGCUCAAGGACUGAUUACUUGGGCCCCAGAAAUUUCUAGCAGUGGUGAUAACACAACAGAAGGGAAGGCGAUGGAUUGGUUUCACUUAGUUCCCCUUGCUGCGAGAUGUUCCAUUGCUGUUGUUACACCCAGCAUCUGUAUGAGAAUUAUUCAGUGAGACAAUGGUUUGCUCCUCUGAUAAGGGUUAUUGACCAAAGAAAGAUCUAAUGACAGAGCAAAGAGUCCUCUUGUGUCUAUCAGCUCAGUAGUGGGAACAGUCUUUAUUACUGUCUGGUUACAUGAAGAGUUUCAAUGGACAGUAGAGCAGUACUGAAAUUUGUAAGUGAGAGACUAAAUUGUAAGGCAAAAGUAUUAUUCCUUCUUUUUCUUUUUUUCUUAUUUUUUCUUUUUUUCUUUUUUUCUUUUUUUGCCUGCAAAUGUUAUCAUUUAGCUGAACUAAUAUCGAGCUACACUUUUUGAGAAAUGCAGAAUAUUCUGUUCUCUAUCCAUAAGAGACAAAGAGAAAGUGAAUGCAAUUGCAUUACAAUACAAGAGUGGCAGAAAAAAAUUGUGCAUUAUUUAUUAUUUCUGUUCAUCAAAGCUUAUCCACAUUGUAAAUCUCACAUAGUAAACAGUGUCCAUCUAAAUACUUCUUUAAGUAGUAAGAGAAUAACCAUACAAUUAUUAUAUACAUAAUAGAAUAUAGAAAUGUGAUGUAAACUUACCGAGUCAAAAAUUGUUAAAGUCUGAUAAUUUAAAAUACUUUUUACUGACUCAAAAUGAAUAUUGCCAAUAAAAGAAUGUAUGGA